AUAUCGAAAAUGAAAAAUCGGAAAAACCUCUUGCCCAUCCCUAUUCCUAUCCGUAACCCCCAUAACGUAUCACUGACAUCUGCGCUGUCAAGCGUCCGUCCACCACCACUAUCGUGAUCGUUGACCAACACAAGGACGAAACGACAGCUAAAAGCAGCGAAACGACGUGGGAUCAGCUCUCUAAGAGAAACCGCCAAAAAAAAACCGGAAAGUGCUUGAUUAGCCGGCAUCAGUGAAAGUUUUCGUGUCCGCGAGUUUCCGGCAGUGCCCAUUUUAGCAGCGUGAGAGACUGCCUUGGAGUGAACCGUGUUUUUUCACCUCCGGAGUGCCAUCUUUGGUCCGGGUCUCGGAAGUCGUCGUAUCCGGCAGGAUAGCCGCAGAGCUUUCUGGGUGUGACUGUAUCUUUUCACUUCGCGGGGAGAAGCCGUUUUAGUUGGCGCGAGGCCGCCAGACAGCAGGACAGAAAUAGAAGAAGAACCGUGCCCAUCACCCCAGAGCUCUGAUCCCCAUCGCCCACGCGGCGGUCAGAAGCCAUUUUGUUUGUGUGAAAUUGCGGAGGGGUCGGUCCGGCCAAGAAACAGUGAACCGUGUCUGAGUCGCAUCGAAUUGCCCUCUUCCUCGGGCUCAACACCGGACAGAAGCCAUUUCAUCUGCGUUUGCUGAGGUUGCUGGAGUACCCAUCCGGUGUGAAGAAAGUUUAAUCCGGCGGAGGAUAUACAUGCAUGCGGCCUGCCUUCGCCACCCUAAUCGAAGAAGAUAACCUCACUCGCGAAAAUCCUGGAGGUGGUGUAGUUGUCACGUGGACUCGACGAGAAGCGAUCUUUGUAUUUGCACCGACGAACGUUCUCCGUUUGGCCCGCUUUCCCGGAACUAUCAGCCGGAGAAUAAAUGGACAGGACCCAGGUCAUCGGACGAAAGGAAAGCAUGGGACGUUCGGUGACACUCGCACGUCGGAGCCGCGUCGGCCAAACUCGAUAUGGUAUGUGAUCAUUCCCUUUAUUCCAAUCAUUUCCUUCGACAUAAGAAUGUUACGAAAAUCAUGAAAAUGACAAAUUGAAUAUAUAUACAAUGUAAAAUCAGA